GGUUCACGGACCCGCCGCUCCAUGCUGGGGGACCAGAUGCCUCUGUUUAUGCUCCCCUCCUCCCGUCCUUCUGCCGGACGGCAGCAAGACAGAGCCGCCAGUCAUCACUAGACUUCAUCUGUCCCCACAAUCUUGUCUUUCAAUAUAUUCUUUCCUCCACCCCUUUCUGUCCCCACGCACCCUCCCCCAGAUGACCAGAAGGGGUAUUUCUCUUUUUAAAGUUUGACCCAAUAGAACAAAGCGGAAUAAAGGACUAGUCAGGAGGGUGUGGAUCACUGUCGUGGGAAGGACGCCCUGGGGUGUUCAGCAAUCCAGCCGGGAGGCCGCGGGCACCCCCUGCCCCCUGUGUCACCACGACUUCCAGCUAUACAUCUCGCUGUGGUUGUUUAGGAACAGCCCACUGAGAAGCCAACUCUGGAUGCCUGCACUUGGCCUUCUCAGGAAAACUGACCUGCGGUGCUACAAGUCAGAGACAGCGAGAAACAGCGACAGAUUUGAAGUUGACCGCCAGCUGUCAUCUCUUCAAGGCCCCCAAGAUGGGCUCGGUUUUGUACUUCUUCCUUCAGACCUGAGGAGUUUUUGAAUGACCACUAGCAUCUUCAAUGGACCACACAGCAUGCAUUGCACACUGAAAAUUACCUGGGACCAAUCUCAACAAGAAAACAAAUCUGCUUCUUCAGAGCAAGGCGGGAAGACAAGGAAGCAUCUUUUCACCUGGGAAAGAUUAAACUAAAAUGUAAAACUUAACUAAAAGCAAAGAAUCUUGCUACUCUCUAUCAAGAGGUCUAUUUCCACUUGUUUUGAAUAUCCACGGGCUUUUGUGACUGCUCCCACAGACAGAAUGUGGUGGGCAUGAUGCUGCAUGACUUCUAAGGAAAUAAAUUCAGCCACCAUGUUGUAGAGAAGCUCGGGCCACAUGGAGAAAAAAUCACCUGGAGGUUCCAGCUGAAAGCCCAGCUAAGAUCUCAGCUGACAAUCAACACCAACUGCAAACAUGGGAGUGAGUGAAUGAGCUUUCAGAUGACGUCAGCCCACAGCAUCCAAGCUGCCCUAAUGCUGGGUAAGUAUAGUGAAGAACUUCAACAACAGCGAUGCUGGAAAUCCAGUUCUAAGUUUUCCAUCUGUCUGUGCUGUAAUUAUACUGUAGUAUUCCCAAGCCUUUCAUAAAAAUCCAGUAAAAGUUCA